rnacentral:lncRNA from 1 species
UUAAAGAUAAUUUAUUGUGAAGUGAGAGGAAGUCACAAAGCAAAAUGGAAUGGGGACAGGUGUCAAAGAUAAAUUUUAAAAAUGUUUUUGUCAAAUACUAUUCUGGAUUUCCUAAGGUUAGAAACAAGAAAAGAAUCAAGUGAAAAGGUAAUCGUUCUUUUCAAAAGAUUUGAAUUUGUAAAGAAAACAACUUUUCUCUGAAAAUACAAAUCAUCCUUCUUACAUGAAACCUAUAAGACUGAAAAAAAAAAGACUUUAGUAAACUGUAUCUCUCAGAUAUGCUUAGGAAUGUUUGGUUUUAAGGAGAUUUAUAAGGAGUUUUAAAAAUCAUGGCUUCCACUUUGUAAAUGAACCUAAGUCCAGCAAUGAUCAAUGUCACUUGAUCCACCCUGAAGUGUCCCAUUAUGUCUUCUUAUGCUUAUGCUUCUUUCCUGUAACUUGCAGCAAAGCAGGUUUGAAGGAAAAGAAAGGAUUAGAAGGAACUACAGUUAGUUCCCUAGUGAAUAACUUAAGACAAAACCUGCUUUUCCAUUCACAUUACACAUUCACAAUUGCUCACUUCUACUUACUUUACUGGUAUAUUUCAGAUUCUCUCCACACCUAGAAUGCUUUGUCCGAACCUAAUCCAACCCCCAGAACAAAAAACAAAGUCUCACGUGGAUAUCUCAAAACAUAGCUGUGUACAAAGGCCAUGGUUUCCCAUAUAUCUCUCCUGUCAUGCUGCCCACAAUAUUGUUCUGAGCUCAUUGAAGUGUUCCCGUUGGGCCAGAAUAAAGCCUUGGGAACUCUCUUAACACAAUUUAAAAAUUACAUUUACCACUUGUCUUGAAUGAGAAGAUUAUGAAAUCAGAGAGAAAAACCCAUUUUUAUCAAGAAAUGCCACGUAAUGGACUCUUCCAGAGGCAGAUAGUGUUUGUCACUCUGAGUGAUGAAGGUGAUCACGGAGUCCCAGGGUGCCCUCUUUACCAGUCCCCGCUGAGCUUUACUACGGCAAACUCAGGACCAUGGACCCAACAGCAGGAUCCACCCAGAGAUGCAUCCAAACGAGAGUAUGACAGACUAAACACUGUUAAAGCUGAAGAGGACACCAGACGGUUUGGCUCUAGAGGUUUCCAAUGACUCUAAAUGAGAGCGAUGAUAAUCACACCUGCUCUCCUCAGAACAAAAGUCCCCACUGUGGCUCCAGGGUACCCACAGAGCUAUCGAUUCUGCUUUCAGGAUACAUGGAAGCCAUCAAAAGAAACCCAAAAAUACAGCGGGAAUCCGGGCUUAUAAAACUCUACAGCCCUUGAGCACGUGAUAUAAUUUGGAUGUAUUCAAAGAAAAUAUUCGCGAUUGUUCUUUCCAAUAUUGAAAGAGAAAAAGCCACCUGCCCCUUUCUUCACUCAAAAACCUCGGGGAUUGGCAGGAGGAGGAAGUAUGGGCUGGUGGGGAGGCAGGGUGAGCAGGGGGCUAAAGCCAGAAACAGUCUGGCCCACCACACCCCCUGGCCCAGCGGCCCUUUCUGCUGCCUUUUUUUUUUUUUUUUUAAAGAUUUUAUUUCUUUAUUCAUGAGAGACACAGAGAGAGGCACAGGCAGAGGAUGACACAGGCUCCAUGCAGGGAGCCCAAUGCGGGACUUAAUCCUGGACCCUGGGAUCAUGUCCUGAGCCAAAGGCAGCCGCUCAGCCGCUGAGCCCCCCAAGCGCCCCCCUUUCUACUUCUGAGGCCGACUCAGCUGAACUCACAAAGUGUUGUCCAUUUGCACCUCACGCCCUGAUUGUCACUGCCAUUACAGUAAGCACUUACAAGAAAUGUGCGCCAUCACCACAGCGCCCAGGUGUGGGAGUUUGACUCCUGACAGCAAUCCCGGCCUUUCUUUCACCUGGAGGGAAAGCCUUUGGGCUUAGACUAAAGUCAGGGGCAGGAUUCCAUGGAAGUUGAUCCAGGGUCCCUGGAGAGGAGACUCAUCCAGAUGAAACAGAUCACCAGAAACAUCUCCAUCUGCCUCUCUCAGAAGCCAUGCAGUCCUGGGUGUGGCCGGCCCUUCCC